GGAAUAUUGGUCAAUGGGCGAAAGCCUGAACCAGCAACGCCGCGUGCGCGAUGAAGGCCUUCGGGUCGUAAAGCGCUUUUGGGAGGGAUGAAAUUGACAGUACCUCCCGAAUAAGGAUCGGCUAACUACGCGCCAGCAGCCGCGGUAAGACGUAGGAUCCAAGCGUUAUCCGGAAUUACUGGGCGUAAAGGGCGUGUAGGAGGUUGGGCAAGUCGGCCAUGAAAGCUCCCGGCUCAACUGGGAGAGGCUGGUCGAUACUGCCUGGCUAGAGGGCAAGAGAGGGAGGUGGAAUUCCCGGUGUAGUGGUGAAAUGCGUAGAUAUCGGGAGGAACACCAGUGGCGAAGGCGGCCUCCUGGCUUGUACCUGACUCUGAAACGCGAAAGCAUGGGGAGCAAACAGGAUUAGAAACCCUGGUAGUCCAUGCCAUAAACGAUGUCAACUGGGUGUCGGCGAAGUAAAAUUUGUCGGUGCCGAAGCUAACGCGUUAAGUUGACCGCCUGAGGACUACGAUCGCAAGAUUAAAACUCAAAGGAAUUGACGG
rnacentral:rRNA from 1 species